rnacentral:rRNA from 1 species
UACAGAGAGUGCGAACGUUGUUCGGAAUUACUGGGCUUAAAGAGCACGUAGGCGGCAUCGUAAGUGUCAGGUGAAAUCCCACGGCUCACCCGUGGAACUGCCCGGCAGACUGCGAUGCUCGAGUGUGGUAGGGGAGAACGGAACUCCUGGUGGAGCGGUGAAAUGCUUAGAGAUGACAUAGAACACCAAUUGCGUAGGCAGCUUACUACACGAUCAUUGACGCUGAGGCACGAAAGCGUGGGGAGCAAACAGG